rnacentral:lncRNA from 1 species
UAAGCGCCACAGCCUCAGACUCUCUCCCUCCCCAACAUAUCGCUAACCAUGAUGAUCAAAUUUCCGCAGCGACCAGCGGCGAAUUCGUUUGAUAGAUGACAGCACAUCCAGUCCAGCUUCCAAAUCAAUUCCGUGGUCUCGCAGCAAUGAAAGAUUGGUUUGAUGAACUGCCGAUGCUGCAGUGGUAAGCGAGCAGAGCACCAAACCAAAUUGAUCCAUGGAGUGCAGAGAGGGGGACAGUGAGCUAAGCUAGGUGUGUGCGUCUGAACGCGCAGAUCAAAAUGGGAACCCGUUCACAUUCGUGCGCUCAAUUCCACUAGCUAGCGACAUGAUGAGAAUCUUACCUUCCACAUCGCCCUAGAAAGGUGAUGUUACUGCAAUUCCUAUAUAUAAAAAGAAGAGAAUUCAACAAGCUCCUCGACCGGAGAUUCAUAUUUUAUCAGUCCCACCACAGACCUGAACAAAAGCACGACAUGAUCCAAUCUACCAGCUUCUCUCCGGCGACCUCCACUGAAUCUCAUCAUCAUGCACCUUGGAUAGGAUUGUCCUAGCCAUGGCUUGAGUUCUUCUUCUUCAACACCUCAAGGCCUCGAGUUCACAGGUUCAUUCGGGACCGUAGAAUCACGGGCACGGCAGAAACCGCCACCGGCAUCGACAGCGCAUUCCUUCAGCCACUGCGCCCCUGAAACCGACCCGCACCCACAUGGAGCUCACCAUGCUCGGCUGUCCAGGGUCCAGGGUGCGGUGCUCCAUCACGCAAUUGCUCUCGGCCUCCGAAUCCGGACAGCUCCCGGGCGAUGGAAAGAGCGGUAACCCGCUUGCUCGAUCUGGAAUUUGCGCGUGCCGCCUGGAAUGUGUAUGCGUUCGGUUAGGGCCGGUUGCCACUUGGCGUCGACGCGAAAACAAGCUUGGACCUUGCAUCGAUAUGGCUCGCUUGACGUUCCCUGGGUUCGUUUGAUGACACCAAGAGGGGGACGAUCCAGCCAUCCAGGAUGAUCGUGUUUGCUUUGGUUCGGCAGAGGUACUGAAAAACUUCCAUUUUUGUCUUCUUGUUUAUUGCCGCCAUCACUGAUUCGGGCAAAGAUUGUCCCUAAUUUUGGGUUGCUUGUUUUAUCUCUUCUCAGUUCUUACUUUGAAGAACUAGCAUGGUAGCAUGUGUGGCUCUGUGCUAUUACACAUGUGUGGCUCUGUGCUAUUACACGUCUAGUUUUGAGAAUGGUUUGCAUUCUUUAUGCAACUCUAAUGACUAAAUCUAAGAAUAGUACUGACUGUCGGUUGCCAAACUCUUUUCAUACACUCUAGAUAAACUUUAUUUUGAGCAUAUAUAUCUAAGAUAGGAAUGUUUAGAUAUUUAUCUUGAGCACACUCCAUCUUAGGCACAUGAUAACUUCACUGUCGUUUCUGCGACAGAGGAAACAGAAAAGAUAUUUUUUCUCGAACACGUAGGAGAGCUGCGUAUCUUUAUAUUAUUAAGAGAGAAUAAAAAGCACCAUCUCAGCUUGGACCAUAAUGAGAGGUGUGAGGUCUCAACUUACAAAGAAACUUACGGCUUAAGCAAGAAAAAGGACCUGACCCGGGCUACCUAAGCCACACUCUAGACCAGCAGCCUCCCUAGGUCCAGGGCAUUUAGCCCCUUGGCCCCAGCGAGCUGCCACAGUUGGAUUCAUCCUUGAAACAGAAACCAAAAGAAAUUGGUGGGCUACCAGAAACAGAAAAGAUUAUUACCCAAAAAAAAUUGGUGGGCCAAUUGCGAGCCAUUCUUUGGAGACAAUAGAACCCGGAAGAAGCCUGGCAAUUUCCUCGGCUAGCUCAGUUCCACUAGUGGAAGAGGAAUCUUACCUUCCACUACAUUCUAAAAGGUGAUUCAGAUAAUGAUCCAGAAAGCUGAUAGUACAAUUAUGUGGAUGGAAAAUUUAAAAAGGGAUCCCCACUGGUUCAUAUUUUGGUCCCCAAGCAUGCAUGGAUCCACAUAAGAAGAUACCUGUAUACUUUCUCUGCUGGUCUCCAGUUUUCACCACUAUCACUACUAAACCCUCCACCUGCCGUUCCAAUCCGUCGAUUCCCCUGUGAUCUUUGAUGCAGUGGCUUGGAUGCUAGGAUGAAGUUCCAUGGAAUCAAUCGUCUUUCAGUUCACAAGACCGGGAUCAUGAAAGAUAGCACCUUGUUCGGUUGCCCAAGGGCAGUGCUCCUUGACGCAAUUUGCCUUCCUUCAAAAUUCCAAUCGAACAGCUCCCUGCACUGCCGCCCCAUAUCCAUGUAUGCCCUGCAAGGCGAUGGAAAGGAAGCCUACUUGCUCUUUUCAUUGCGCGUGUUGUUCAUAUCCGUGCGCGCAUUCAGUUUUCAUUCGGUUGGGCUCGAUUGCGACCAAGAAAGUACUCUUCAACUUUUAUUUUUCCAUUAGACAUAUCAACACAUCGAACCAACAAACUCAUCUGUUCUUGGUGACUCACAUCUGGAGUGCAAUCAAGGAUAACCGAAAAAUAUUUGGCAUCUUUAACAAUUUUUAUGAUAUAACUUGUAAUAUCAGAAGCCAUAAGAAAAAUCAACUCAUUCUAAAUUUUAUGACUAAGAUAAUGAUACUGGAGCUCUUUGUUUUGAAUACGUCUAAGGUGGUCUUGCAUCACCAAGUCAAAUUCUGCGAUCAUCUCACAACAAGCUAAGAAAUUACCAUUAAGGUCAUUGUAAAGUUGCUCACUAGAUCCUCCAAAACCUAAGUUGCGUUUACCAAGAAAUUUCACAAUGGCCACUAUUCGUAAUAGAACUUGUCUUAGGCGUUCUUUCUCCUUUGCAAUUUGUUGUUGUAACUCCUUAUCGAUCGUUUCUCGUUUCCUUAGUAUUGCACUCAGUUCAUUCCAAGAGUUCAUGUUGGUAAUAUGAUCAACACUAACUUCAUGCUCUUUCAACCUCUCACUGGUAUGCCUCCAAUCUCUAAAUUCAUCACGUCCCAGUGAACUCUUGCAGUUGUUAGAACCGAAAAGCUUAUAGCAAAAGCAAAAUACUUUAUCAACAUGUUUUGAAUAGACUAACCAUUUCCUGUCACGUACUUCUCCAUUGCUCAUUUUUCUAGAGUAAUGAGUGUGAGAAAAAUGUCUUGAGUUGGCAUCCAAAGGAAAUAUAAUAUUUUUUCUCUUAUAGAGGCCCCUUCUCUACUAAUAUGUCCUUUGCUUUAUUAUCAAGAUUGUCCCAAUUGGCUGGAUCAUACAUAUCUGAAGUAAAAACUGGUUCUUCAUCACUAGCAAAGUGCUCAUGAUCACUCACAUUGUUAUCAUCCGUGUUGAUGCCAACAUUAUCUUCUGGAAUAGUAUUAGUUUGUUCCUCCACAGCAACUAUCACCAACUCGUCUGGUUUUCUUGAAACUGUUGUACUACUCUAAAAAAAUCUAUCAAUGGAUCCUCUUUGUGAUUCUAUCAACUCAUCUACAUGUUUCUUCCUUUUCCUUUAAUCACUGCCUGAUGUAUGCUUCCUAGAUGACAUGAGGGCACUAGAAUUUUUAACAAGACAAUUAGUAACUUACAAAUGUACUAACAUAUUGGAUCGACUUAAUCAAAUUAUUAGUAAAUUAUAUAAGUUACAGACUUACAGUAUAGAAUAUCAAUGGAGAAUUGGAGGGGGCAAGUUUGUGUUACCUAUUUUACUUCUGGCUGUGGCUCGGUGGCUGCCUGUGGCAUUUGUCGGCGUCGGAACUCGGACGGUCGCCGGCGUCGAACGAUCAGAGCCUCGGAGGCGAGUUCCUGGAGAUCGGAUCAUGCGGCAGCAUGCGAACAGGCGGACUGGCGGAGGGCGCAUGAUCGAUCCGUUCUCUCGUGGAUUACUGGAUUUAGCUGCUGGUGGCCUGCUGCAGUGCUGCUUGUGCUCCGGCCUCAGGCUAUGGGCCUAGCCCAACUGCUGAACUAAACAUUUAAAUAUCUAAACCACGUAAUCAGCAGCCAUGUAUACGUAUACAUAUACUACAUGUAUACAUGGGAUGCCCCCCCCGUUUUUGGGCUUAGGGCAGCCGCACUGCUCGACCCCCCCCCCCCUCCCCGCCCCGGCCGGGCCUGGGUGGAAGCAAGCUUCCCAUGUUUAGCAGGAAGUUACGGGUUGUUUUGUCAUCUAGAGAUGUUAAUUCUCUCCUCACGUUUUCCUAUUUCAGGGUGUGUACCCAAUAAACGUUUGCUAGUUACCUCAUUCACUAUCGAACAUUUGCCACUAUUUUUACACUAAGGCCUAGCUCGAAUUUCAUUACUCAGAGCAACAAAAUUACGUAGUUCAGGUUCAGGUUUCACACCAACAGUAGACGACUACACAUUACCCAAAAAGAGGACUCCAGCUGAGCAGCACAAAGGACCUUCUAGCUGAAGCGCACACACACGGAGACUUAGAGUUUAAGAAGUAGACAUCCAUUAAGGCUAUUAGACUGGACACAACUUUCGUUCGCCAUCUUCAUCAACUUGACCGGCUUGCAGACAGCCUCUACCCCCAAGCAGCCUGGACCCUCAUUGUAGCAACACUAUCCCUGUUUCCUCCGUUGCACCUUUAUGAGGGUGGAAGUGCAGUGCCGCCUCCUUCAUCAUUUCUGCUGCCGCCUCCUUCAUCGUUUCUGCUCCAGCUUCCAGGUUCAUCUUGUCAUCCUGCUUUUGGAGACUUGCCCAGUAUGUUAUGAAGGAAGAUGCUAAGCAAAUAAUCUCAGUAGGAGAUUUAAUUUGUUUCUUGUCAAAACAGACUAAAUUUCUCAAUUUCCAUAUUGCCCAGCAAAACAGCUGACAAGACAACCAUAUGUACACUUUUGAUUUGAGGCAAAUAUCUCAUGCUCCAUUCCCAAAACUAUACAAAGUUGCUUGGCCUACAGGGAGCACCAAUAACCAUGGCCAUCAGGCUCCAAACAUACCUUGCUAAGGAAAACCAAAAAAGAUAUGUUCUACAGAUUCAUCCAUACUACAGAAACAAUAUCUCUUGUCUCCCUGCCAGUUACGUUUUAGCAAAUUAUCUUUGGUUAAAAUGGCAUUUUGGUGAACUAACCACAUGAAGAUUUUUAUUUUCAAAGCGAUUUUUACUUUCCAAAUCUUUUUUGUUAGGAAUCUCAAUAUCAUCACUGCAUAAGUGAGCAUACAUGGACUUAACUGAGAAGGUUCUGUUCUUUUCCCAACUUCAUUGGGGUUUAUCUCUAUCAGUAGACAACGCACAAGUAGAUAGUAUAUCUCUCAUCUGUCUUAAUUGGGUUUGAGCUCUCUCGUCCAGCCACCUUCUAAAUGUUAAUCUCCACCCUCUUGCAACCAUAGCUGCUACACAUUCUGUUUGUUCAUUAGAAAUGUCAAAUAGGUCUUGAAAUUUAUCUCUUAGCGAGACUGGGCCACACCAGGGAUCUCUCCAGAAGUCUGCCCAUUGCCAAAUUUGAUAAUUCUACCUUUUACGUAGAUAUCUUUAACUUUUAAUAGAUCAUUCCACAUAGGAAAAUUAGUUGGUUUGCUUUUUAAAUGUGAUAUUUCUCCAACAAUCUUAUAUUGCAGCUUCGUUUCGCACACGCAAAACAAAAGGAUUGUCAUAAAAUUGUUUCAGAAAGGUUCAGAACAUACAAAUUGCUUGCGUAGGUGCACCUCCUUUUGAUGAAACCACGAUGACUACAGGACACCAUAUAGUUUCCCUGACAGCGACCGGUGGCUUGUUGGCAAUCGAAGGUCUUUAGCAACAGCAUGUCGCUCCGCCCGAAUACAUGUUUCUCAGCAACAGAACGAGUGUUACUUAAGCCUUAAGGUGUGUUCUCUUGUUGUGUACUACUUCCAUACCAAACUACUAUUCAUUUUACCUUUUCUAGAUACAUCACUUCUGCUAUAUAUCUAGACAUAAGUAUAUAUCUAGAUGCAUAUCAAAAUGUGUGUACGUAGAAAAGCUAAAAUGAAUAAUAAUUUAGAAAGGAGGGAGUAUAUGGUCUGAAAAUAUGGCACAAUUCAGUUAGCCAAGAUCUCUGAAUAUACUUUGUCGUCGCUGCUCGGCUGCUCCUUGUUCGGUAGAAGGACAAUAUAUUUGCGGAGUUGAGGAGAUUGAAGUGAAGUUGCUUCCUUACAUUUCUUGUACGUAGUUGCUUGAUAGCUUGCACUACGUCACGUUUUAUUGGCUCCCAGCAAUGAGAAAAUGGGAGAUAAGUUGACAAGUCCAGCGUACGCAUCCGGUCCCUGAGCUUUGUCUCCUAGCAUGCGUGGACGCGGCUUGAGUUGGAAAUAAUGCUCUUCCUGUAUGGGCUCAUCCAAGGGCUGUAUUGAGCCAGUUGAAGCACGCAUCCCGACUUUAGGUCCAAUGAUAUUCGCGCUUGUGCCGAGCUAGCUGCUGCUCAGAAGAAGUGCUACGAAUCACUAAAGAGAAGAGAAAUGCUAAAAGAACUGUGCG